GCCGUUCUGUCUGCAGUGUUGCUUCUCUGAAGUUCCUCCGAGUCACUGGAUGGAGCACGUGGCAGAGCUCUGCGGAGGAGGAAGCAGCCUGGGUGCCUUGGAGCUGAAAGAAUGCCCACGCAGCCGAGACAGCACCGCCAGUGAAUUCACGGUCCGGGAAACCGAUGAACUGCACCGACCCAGGUUACUAUCUGUCUGCAGAGUUGAGAUGAAAUUAGAGCUAGUGAGUCUGGUUCAGUUUACGCUGGGUCCACAUCUAGGGCCAAGCAGUAAACGGAACAUGUUCCUGGGGUUGCAAAAAUUGGCUGAGGUUCUGCAAAACUAUUAUCCAACUGCUUUUGUUUUGGUUUGCCUAAUUCCCUCUUAGAAAACUCGCAAGGAAGAGAUUCGGAAGUGGAAGAGGGAGAAACAUUGGUCCUUAAGAAACUGCUAAGAGUUGGGGCGCCUGGGUGGCGCAGUCGGUUAAGCGUCCGACUUCAGCCAGGUCACGAUCUCGCGGUCCCGCGGUCCGUGAGUUCGAGCCCCGCGUCAGGCUCUGGGCUGACGGCUCAGAGCCUGGAGCCUGCUUCAGAGUCUAUCUGUCUCUCUCUCUCUGCCCCUCCCCUGUUCAUGCUCUGUCUCUCUCUGUCCCAAAAAUAAAUAAACGUUGAAAAAAAAAAAAGAAACUGCU
rnacentral:lncRNA from 1 species